GGGGUUGUAGCUCAAUGGUAGAGUGCUUGCCUAGCAAGUGUGAGGCCCUGGGUUCAAUCCUCAGUACCA
rnacentral:tRNA from 1 species